CAUUUCUCCCUCGCCCCAUUUACGUUAUUUUUCUCUCUCGUCUUAGGGUUCCCGUCGAUGCCGCCGAUUCUCCCCUUGAGGCCUGAGUCCAUCCUUCCUCUCAAAUGAUCCAGGCGAGUCCGGAGACGGCGGCAGCACGCGAGAUCUCCUAAGCGACGAGUGCGGCUGGUGCUCGGGAUUCACUGUGGAGGCGGUGCAGGGUGCACGGUCUUUCAUACUUCAUCCACCACCGCCCUAGCCCCUCCUCCUCCGCCGGAACCCAACCGUCGUUCAAUCCUCCUCCCAUUGAUGAUUACCGGAACAACCAUUCUGACGCCGCCCCCGCCGGCCCAUUCGCGUUCUAGAUGGGGCUCCACCACCACAUUUCCUACGCCCAUGGGAAGGGCUCCAAAACGGGAGAGCCAUCCCUCGACGGAUCUGAGCGCCAUCCCUCGCCAGUGGGUCGCGAACCUCAAUGCUUCCCGAGAUCGCUGCCAUCUCACUCCAUCUUCGACGCAACGGGUUGCAGCGGCGCAAACUUACCAUAGGUACGGCGUCCUCCCACAGCUUCCGCCUUCAUGAGGAAAUCCCCUUCUUCUUCCUCCCCUCUCAUGGACCUCUGCCACACUCUCCUGCUUUGACCACAACACGCAAGCCGGGUAGGAAGGAUUACAAGGAACGGGAGAGUCAUCUCCUCAACUCUGUUCUGGACAGACUCGACUGGGGUGGCUACAGAGAACAAUAAAGUUGGUUAAACUGAGUAGAAUUAUAGGUUUUGUGAAAUGGGAAUCGAGUCAGGUGGCGUGCUUGCCCGCAGAAAUAACAACGACAUUGAAGAAGAGGUCCAAGGAGAGGAUCCUUAGCACACUCUGGAUCCAGAGUCUCUCGAGUGGAUGAAGAGGAUGUUGUUGUGCCGAAAGAAAACAUGGCAAUUGCAAGGCAUGCAAGCCGGGCUAUGUUUCAGCAAUUUGAACCAAUACUGUAUGGGCAGGCACAUACGGGAAGUGCUCGGUUUGGAUUACUUUUGUUUCCAUACUGGAGUCAGCAGGAGGGGAAUUGGAGGUUCUUGCUCCUCUGCAAAAUCAGUCCGUCAGCUUGCCCCAAGAGAAGAGUUUGAUCAAAACAACAUCUAUCUGAUCAAGCACACAUGGCUAGAGUACUAUAGGAGGAAUAAUUUGACUGUAAGUGGCUUUGGUUUUCACAUAUGAUCUGUUGUUCUUCCACACACUACAGGUCAUGGAUCAUGUUGGUAUAUAAGCACAUGUUUGCUCUUCUGUCGCGUAUAGACAUUGGAACAUAUACAUUCAUGUGCUAGAGCUUGUUUGGUCAGGAGAUGCCAGCCCAAAAGUUAGAAAAUCACGCAACAAAGAAUUUAUUUUAAAGGUACACACCGGCGUAGAGACCGCCUUCCUGCACUAGGAACUCUCCAUAUCGCCAGCUUGGCUGCACUAGGGACUUGUCGUCGUCGACACCUGUCUGCCGAGACUUACUUCGUACCGACCACGACGCAUGCCGCUAAUGACGCCUGUCUUGCAGCUGACCCCGACGCACCCUACCUAGACCAGGAGGUUGUCGCCACCGCAUUGUUUUUGUCCACCAGGAGGUCAUCUCUCGAAAAGGACCAUCUGCGAACGUGGCUGCCCAUACCAAUCAUCUCCCAUGGCGUCUCUCUCUCUCUCAUCGAAUCCAUUCUCUCAUAUUGCAGGUUAAUUCCGUUCCGAUUGACGAAAUCUGCAGCAAUCAAACCAUUUACCGUGUGGUAUGAUCUUUUGUGCAAUGGAUUUUUUUCACUAGAUGCAGACGAGUUGAAACAUGGUACCUGGAGUUUUGCCCUAUCCGUACCACAUUAUUUUUCAUUGUCGACGUUCUGUACUCCGAACUUCGUAGAAAAGGUAAGCAUCUACAAGAUGGUUUACCCUGCUAAGGCAUUUUAUUUCUACAGAUUACACUAAAGCAUUCAAGAUCUUUAGUCAUGUAUGUUGGUAACCAUUGUGGUGCUUAUGCGAAGAACCAACUUUGGAAAUAUGCGCGUUCUGAUUUUUUGUCAGCUUUUGUUCAUGAGUUAUUUGUGUAAUGACUGGAGCGGUGGAGACAUCAGUUUUUCUUAUAGCUACAUUGCCAUGGGCGUUUUUGUUCUGUUCCACUUAUUUCGUGAAGCUUCUGGUAAGAAAGCUCCUCGAAUAAAAGUGGAAUUCAAUGAUUUCCUCGAGAAAAACGCUUGAGCAUUUCAAUGGAACUUAUCAUGGUCAUGGUGCUGCACCUUAGAUUAGGGAGGAGACCCGGCGUGGCAGGGAUUAUAUUGACUGUCACGCCGCCAAUGUUGUUCCCUGUAAUCCUCAACCUCCCUUCCAGCAAUGCUGACAUGGAGUUCUUCUUGGUCCCCGUGUCCUUCAGACAAUCUGGUUUAGGAUGGAUUGAUGGACGUCUACAUCAAAUGUAGGAAAGAUGGAAAGAACUUCAGUACACCAAUAUGCAAUUUCUGGUGUACAUUCUUUAAAAAUCUGCAUUUUUUCAAUUGAACUGAACCUACUUGUGUUU